rnacentral:rRNA from 1 species
CAGCCGCCGCGGUAAUACGAAGGGGGCUAGCGUUGCUCGGAAUCACUGGGCGUAAAGGGCGCGUAGGCGGACUGAUAAGUCAGGGGUGAAAUCCCAAGGCUCAACCUUGGAACUGCCUUUGAUACUGUUUGUCUUGAGUUCGAGAGAGGUAAGUGGAACUGCGAGUGUAGAGGUGAAAUUCGUAGAUAUUCGCAAGAACACCAGUGGCGAAGGCGGCUUACUGGCUCGAAACUGACGCUGAGGCGCGAAAGCGUGGGGAGCAAACAGGAUUAGAUACCCGAGUAGUCCCUGUCUCUUAUAC